UCGUGGGGAUUCAUCCCCUCUAGAUAGACACCCUUUGUUUAUGAGUACCAAUUGUUUCCUCGGCGGGCUUGCUCGCCGUUGGACAACCAAAACCUUUGUAGUAGCAGUGUCUUCAGUCAAAAAAAAAAAUUA
rnacentral:misc_RNA from 1 species